UAAGAUACUUUGUGUUGUCCUUAUUAUU
rnacentral:piRNA from 1 species